AUAAAAAAAACUAUUUUAUGUAAAAUAAUUAAAAAAAUUUAUUUUUUUUAUUUAUAAAUUAUUUUUAAAUAAAUAUUUAAAUAAAAAAUUUAAAAUUAAUAAAAUAUUAUUUAAUAUUAAAAAUUAUUAAAAAUAAUUUUAGAAAUAAAUUAAUUAUUAAUAAAAAUUGUGCCAGCAAUUGCGGUUAAACAAUUAAUAAAUUAAAUAAUUUUAUACUUUAAUUAUUUCACAAUUAUUUUAUAAAAUUAUUUAAUUAAAUAAAAUUUUUAAAUAGUUUAAAUAAUUAAUUUUUAUUAAAUUUUGAUUAAUUUAAAUAAAAUCUUAAUUAAACUAGGAUUAGAGACCCUAUUAUUUGGUUGAAAUAAAAAUUAUAAUUAUUAAAAGUUAAAAGCUUUAAAUUAAAUAAAGUUGGCUGUAUUUUAAUUUAUUUAGAGGAACUUGUUAUUUAAUUUGAUUUUCCACGAUAAGCAUAUACUUUAUUUAUAAAAUUUAUAUAUCGUUGUUAAAAAAUUUAUUUAAAAAUUAAAAUUUAAUAUUUUUUAUAAAAAAAAAUUUCAAAUCAAGAUGUAAUUAAUAAUAAAGGAUUAUAAAAAUGAGUUAUAUAAAAUUAUUUAUGGAAUAAAAAUUUUAAAAUUUAAAGAAAUUAGAUUUAAAAGUAAUUUAAUUAAAUUUAAUUAAAUGAUUUAAUUUUAAAAUAAGUACAUAUUGCCCGUCACUUUCAUAAUUUAUGAAAUAAGUCGUAACAAAGUAAGAGUAUUGGAAAAUGUUCUUAGAA
rnacentral:ncRNA from 1 species